AGGGUUUUUAACCACCCUGCACUCCCCCUUCUCUUUUUCACAGAUGGUUCGCUCCUCACAAACGGCCAAGUUGAGUCUCUCAAUCCAGGGCUGCAUCUCUCUCUUCUCCGCCCUACGUCGUCAUUCUCAUCUCUUGCUCGGGGCUCGUCUCCUUUGUUUUACUGCUCUUCACCUGUCUGUGCUGUAAGAAGGGAGGAGUGGGAUUCAAUGAGUUUGACAAUGCAGAGGGGGAGGAGUGUUCUGGGGGUUCUAGCCCCGCCCAGGAGGACAGUCUGUCCUCUUGCCCCUCCCUCCCGGAGGUCUACACCCUCCCACUCAGGGACAGGGCUAACUGCCCCGCCCUGCAGGAUGGCUCAGGUAACUAAGGCAGACUCUCUGUAGCUGGAG
rnacentral:lncRNA from 1 species